rnacentral:rRNA from 1 species
UACGGAGGGUGCGAGCGUUAAUCGGAAUUACUGGGCGUAAAGCGCGCGUAGGCGGCUUUUCAAGUCGAUUGUGAAAUCCCCGGGCUUAACCUGGGAACUGCAGUCGAGACUGUCUAGCUAGAGUAUGGGAGAGGGAAGUGGAAUUUCAGGUGUAGCGGUGAAAUGCGUAGAUAUCUGAAGGAACAUCAGUGGCGAAAGCGACUGCCUGGACCAAUACUGACGCUCAUGUGCGAAAGCGUGGGGAGCAAACAGG